UGAAGCCUGAGUACCUGUGGCCUGAUGGACACAUGGAGUGCUCGAAGGUUAUUUCUCCUUGUUCUUUUCAGUGCAGAAACUUGAAGACAAAGGGAGACAGGUUAUGACAAAAGCAUUGACAAGAUCUACCAACACAAGUUUCACCAUCUGAUGCAGUGAGUUACUGUUAAUAUUCUUCAUGCAUGGAAGGAACCACAGGUAAGUCUUCCCUCAAAAGGAUCAACAUCUUGCUACUACAUGCCACAGACUAGGGGUCUUUCUUGGAAUCAGAUGCUGCACUGCUCAUUGGUCUUUGCAAAAAGCUAUCUACGCAGUACAGCUCCUAAUUACAUGACCAGCUUCACAAGUCCCAGUCGUGUGUGGUCCUUGGGCAAGGAACAGAGGACAACCUGAGCAGAUUUAUCCGAGACUUCAACACUAAGCAAUUCACCCACACCCACUUCCUUCUUCUUCUUCUUCUUCUUCUUGGUUACCAUACAAUGAGAUCCAAGGAUGACAGAGGUGUCCGUCCCCAUAUCACCACCCCUCGCUGCCCUCAUGAUUCAAAGCAAUUAAAGGCAUUAAGCAUUUCGAGCCUGGCCGUACCAUCACGCGAGCCAUCGCCACUGUGGUGCAACAGUGCCCCCCACUUUAUCCUAGAAUCGCUUUGCAUUCUUCCAAGCCACCACAUGGAAAAGGGUAGGGGGAGGGGGGUGGAGCAGAUAAAAGUGCAGAGAGAUAGGUUGAUAGAUAUGCAUUGCAUGGUUGUGAUUCCAUGGCUGCAUUAUUGCGUCCAUCAACCCGAUUAAGAUGAGAUUUCACGUCGCCCUUUGGAUGACACUGUGACCACCUAGAGAACCUUGAGAAAAGGAGGAGGAGAAGAAGAGGACAUGUGUGCUUGUGCUCCUCCUCCUCCUCCUUACAGGAGUAAUUUGAAGCACCUUGACUUGUGGGCACACCCUUCUUCUUCUUCUUCUUCUCCUUUUUUCCCUUUCCCUAUCCAUCUAACCCAAAGCUGAGUCUGCCCUAAACAUACGUGCCCCUCUGCCCUACCAUCAUCCCCCGAAGCCUUUUCUGGUCUCCUUUGUUCUGCUCCACAGUUGGUGAGGAGAAUCCCACUCACCUUUCUUCCCUCCAUUGUUUGCUUAUCCUUUCUUCCUCCUUUUCUCAUGUGUGCUUGCCCUUCCCUUCACGUUGGCAGGUAUGAUACGGCCAAAGCAAAAGGUGGGGGGGGGGAUUGGGAGGGGGGCACCAUGUUCUGACCAAAGGCGCAGGAAAAGAUGGAGUCAGGUUCCCAACAUGCACAAACCCAAAGCAAGCUUCAUCUUCCGUGCAUGCCACCACCUGCACCAUGCUGCCGGGCGAGCUUGUUUGUAUGAACCUGAUUGAGGUGACAACUUGUUCUUCACCACAAGGUCAGUGAACAAUCAACUGCAAUCAAACAAAUGAGCCACCAAGUGCAUUUUUCAGGUGGCUACUGCAAAAUCCAAAGAGGCAACUUGAUUUCAACAGAGCACUUUGUUGUGCAUUAUGCCAGAGAAAUGAGAAAACAGAUACAUAGAGGCUUCAAUCACUGAACAGUUAUGAUGAUGACCUUUCAUUUCUGUGGUGGAAGGGACUGUCAAGCAGUGAUCUUUGGCAGUGUUGACACAUCGAUGCAAGGAAUGCUUCUCAUACUUGAAGCUUCAGAAAGGACAACUGGUAUUUUCUUUCUUCAGGAUGCAGAUUUGUCCCUUGAGCCCAUAAACACCAUGAAUUGAAGGGCAGAUACCUCUUGUCUGGGCUGGAGGUGGAUCUAUCCAUCCAUUUGGGUUGAGCUUUGGGCCUACUACUCCAUGGGAAGAUUGUGGCUCCACCCCAAGAUUCACUUGGUGCUUGGAUCAACCUCAGAUGCUGUGAUGAGAAGAUUUGUGAGCUUGAGAUGGCUUCUUCCAAAGAAAAUAGCUACAGUACUUGGAACAAGUCAUUCUAUCAUCACUGUAUUUCUAGAUUAUUAACACAAAAUCAUCUUUCUUGCAUUUCCUCACAUUUAUUGUCUGCAUCACAUUUUAGGAAUAAGAUUGUGGGUGUUCAGUGAACAUGGAAGCUGAGGCUCAGCCCUUGUCAGCUAGCAAUGAUCAAUCCUGUUGUUAUCAGCCUCAACUGAAACCUCAAGUUAGCAAUGUAAUCUUUGUCAAAGCAUACAUCAUGUGUUCUUCAUGCAAGUUUGUGUUAUAUUCCUUUGAUGAUAUAACAACACAUUGCUGCAAGCUUGCACAGCAACAAAAACAGAGAAAGACAUCUCUGAUGGUAAUUAUGGUCACUUCAAUAUCUGGUGGAAGGCCUGAAUCAGGUGCAGAAGAAUCAUUAUCUCUGGUCAGCAGACAAGGAUAGCUAAUUUGUCUUGGUUUUCCUCAAGCAGAAAUAAAAGCAAAUCUUGUUAGCCAAUAACAUUCGUCCACCAUCCUUUUGUUCAUCUCUGGAUUGUGGCCCUGCAGUUUAUAUUCCUUUUUCUUUUUCUGUUCUGUUUCUUCCAUCUUUUCUUUGGAUUAUUUUGCUGUCAUAUUUAUCUGAUUCCUUUCUUUCUGGGGUGCUCAGCUACAGGAAUUGAGCACCCAUCACAUUGCUCAGACAGAGUGCCAUAUCAUGUCCUGUUUUUGUGGAUGAACAAUGGGCAUCAGACAGCUCUGCUGCUGUGUUUGGGUAGACACAAUGUUGUGACAAGUGCUUCCCUGAGUCAAGAAGAGGGAGAUGUGACCUGGGAUUCUUUGGCAGGGAGAAAUCAUGGAUGACAGAGAGGGAGACAUUGCAAGGGCAGACAGGUGCAUGGAUAAUUAUUCCAAAGACACAACAUGCUAUGUGAAAGAAACCUGAAGAUGGCACACAAAGUGCAUGGUAUGGUGGAUGAUGCAAUCAAAGGUAGGAUAAGUUCCAGGCCCUGCUUUUUGAUGUAGAGAAGCUUCAAAGAAACUUCCUCCAGUACACAAUUAUGCUUGAUUGGCAAGGGAUAUGUGAUUGCCAUCUCCUUUUUCUCAUCCAACAUAUGCAAAUCAUUCUCAUGUGAUGUUCACAAAAGCUACAUUGUUCAUACUAUUCCCUUUGGAAAGCCACAAAAGUUUUCACAGAAGAAUUAGGUUCAUUAUCCUUCAACAUUAAAUUUUACUUUCCAACAUAAUCA